AUUAGAGGGCAGUGUCCUACAUCGGUUUUCUACACGUCCGGUAAGAUGGUCACUAUGAAUCAAAGUCAUAUGUUGAACCAGCCGUCUCUGGACUUUUCAAGUGCAUGGUGCUAGCUAUUUCACCGACAACGUUACAAGAGAUAGCGAUAAAAGACAUAUUUAAGGAAUUGUAUAUUAUUAGAAAACACGGACGUCAAAGACAAAACCUGUAUAUACACAAUUUUCGCUAAAUUUGAAAUGAAAAUUUCCGAGAACCUGACAACCACCACUGGAAGGCAUCCAGAGGCCUAGGUAUUUUGAUCUGCGUAGUUACCAUGGCCAGUGUCUAUUUGUGCAUGCUCUGUGACUGGUGCACGAGAUUGUUGUAGAGGCCCCUAGGCUAGUCUUUGAAAGCAAAAUAUAAUAAAAAAAAAUAGGGGCGCGUGAAACCUGCAGUGUUUUCGGCUGUCGAAGUACUGAAAAGAAGAUGUUUCUGGAAAAACGAAAUUUGCUCAAGCUAGGCUGCUGCAGCUCUGGAUGUCCUGUGAAAAGUUGAAAAGACCCUAUAAAAAUAAUGGUGUAUAUACGAUAUGGAAAUGUAGUGUUAGCGUAUUUAUAUCGUGAUGACUCGGUGGCGAUUGACUUUACAACUGUGUGUUGAUAAAUUACGUGGCAAUAUAAAGUGUAUUUAAUUUUGUAAUACAUUCAGUUGUAACAAUAGUUUCAGGGAUGAUGUGUAAUUGUAUAUAAACAAAUUGAUGCAUGGAACCAGUAACAGUGGCGGAUUUAAGAAUUCGAAAUAGAGGGGGUGGGGAAGGGCGGGACUUUCACAGAUGGAGGGUGUAAUUGAGGUAAGAUAAUUUAUGAUUAUGAAACCUCUAGAAUGCCGGAAAUUUCACUCUCAGACUUAUAUUUAAAACAAUUUUUUACUUCAUUUAUAGUUUUAAAUAAUUUAAAAAAAAUUAGGAGACAUGGUCGGCUGAGCCCCCAUGAACCUGUCACUGAGUAAUCCUAUUUGAUAUUAGAGUCUGUUCGGUGAGGGUACAAGAAUUCGUUAAAAAAAAAUGCGUGAUGCGGAUUUUCUUCUUUUUGUAUAAUAAGCCUAUUAAAAUAUAGCUAAUAAAUAAGUGAGUAAGCAUAGACCUACUACAUAAUGUAAUUAAUAGUUUGUACAUACUAACAUAUUAUGAAAGCAAGUCUGUGAAGAAUGAAAUUCUAGUGUUUUCUUUUUAAUUUAUUAAUUUAGUGUAUAAUAAUUUAAUAAAUUAGUGCUAACACUUUUUCAUUAGUUCAAAUGUCUGUUGUAAAUAUAAUAAAAUGUAAAUUUGCUUGUAUUUAAAUAAAAAUAUAUAUAUAAAAAGCAAA